UGGGGAAUAUUGCACAAUGGACGAAAGUCUGAUGCAGCAACGCCGCGUGGAGGAUGACACAUUUCGGUGCGUAAACUCCUUUUAUAUAGGAAGAUAAUGACGGUACUAUAUGAAUAAGCACCGGCUAACUCCGUGCCAGCCGCCGCGGUAAUACGGAGGGUGCAAGCGUUACUCGGAAUCACUGGGCGUAAAGAGCGUGUAGGCGGAUAUAUAAGUCAGAAGUGAAAUCCAAUAGCUUAACUAGUGAACUGCGUUGGAAACUGUGUAUCUAGAAUGUUGGAGGGGUAGAUGGAAUUUCUGGUGUAGGGGUAAAAUCCGUAGAGAUCAGAAGGAAUACCGAUUGCGAAGGCGAUCUACUGGAACAUUAUUGACGCUGAGACGCGAAAGCGUGGGGAGCAAACA
rnacentral:rRNA from 1 species